rnacentral:rRNA from 1 species
AAAACGACUCUCGGCAAC